GGCUCCCCACAACAUGUUGACGCGGUUACAAGAUGCCCACGCAAACUUACUAGCUUGUGACUAUUUGGUGUUGAUGAGUUGAUCAGGGGGUGUGAUGUGUUGAAAGGAUCUCAGCCAAUGUGCCCCAGCUUCAGCACGCGGGUUAAAAAGCCAUAAUGUUGAUGCGAAAUGUGUUUUUUUUUGUUGUUGUCUUAAUCUUGAACCCUCUUUUGUAGAUGAUGGAAAAGACCCAAGAAAAAAAAUAUUGUGCCGGAGAUACAACCAGAAGGAAACAUGAUUGACAGAAUGCAAAAAAGUUCCAUUAAAAAAGUCACAUAUUUCUCAAUGUACGUUGAUUGAACAAGUACUUCUAAUUUGGCUGGAUUGUGGUGAUCUGGUAAGUUUGGUAAAUCCCAGAAUGAAAAACAUUUUAAAAAACAAAAUCCAAAAAUAAAAAAAGCGUUUCUAGGCAAUUGAGGUUUGAAGCCCAGACAAAUAGUGAGCCGGAAGUGAAAAGGAUUCAUCAAUGAUUGCCCAACAAUCGUUGAUUUCUUUAAUUAUUUCUUAAUUUGUGUUUCAUAAAACACGAAUUAAUUUUUAUAAAUCAAAAGGAAUUUUUAAAAGAAACAUUUAGAAUUAUUGACUUGAUCAAUUUUCUUUUUUAAAAAAAAUAAAGUUUUUAAUGUUUUAAUUUGUAUUUCUUAUUUGGUCUGUCAAUUCUAAGUGAUUCUCUUAACUAUUUUUCCUGUCCACCGUAAUAUUUCUGAGUGCAAAGAAAAAGAUUUUAUUUUAAAAUUACAAUUUUUAAUCAUUAAAGUAAAAAAGAAAAGAAAAAUGGUUAUGGUAACAGGUUUAACCUAGCAAAAUACGUAAUAAAAAAAAUAAUAGUUUAGGUUAUUUUUAUUCAUUUUCUAAAAGAAUUUUAAAUGUUUUUUUUUUUAUCUUCACAAAUAACUUUUCUAUAUAUAAUUUUUUUUUAUUAAAACUAUAUAACAAACAACAUAAAAGGAGAAUAUUUAUUAAUUUGCCACAUUUUUUAUUUUAUUCAUGCUGUGUUGUCAUUUGGCGCGAAAAAACUCGACUCUGACACGACGUUGCUGGCUGUGUAAACCUCAAAAUGCUCUACAUCCAAAAUGUCUCUCUAUCUGUCUCUAAAAAAAAAUUCAAAAAAAAAAAACAAA